UACGUAGGGGGCGAGCGUUAUCCAGAGUUACUGGGCGUAAAGCGCGCGCAGGCGGUCCUUUAAGUCCGAUGUGAAAGCCCACGGCUCAACCGUGGAGGGUCAUUGGAAACUGGGGGACUUGAGUACAGAAGAGAAGAGUGGAAUUCCACGUGUAGCGGUGAAAUGCGUAGAGAUGUGGAGGAACACCAGUGGCGAAGGCGGCUCUUUGGUCUGUAACUGACGCUGAGGCGCGAAAGCGUGGGGAGCAAACAGG
rnacentral:rRNA from 1 species